rnacentral:rRNA from 1 species
AUUGAACGCUGGCGGCGUGCCUAAUACAUGCAAGUCGAGCGAAGCGGCGGUUGGGUGAGUAACGCGUGGGUAACCUGCCCUUAAGUCUGGGAUUCCAUUUGAAAACAGAUGCUAAUACCGGAUACUAAAGGAUGGACGUGGGAUGCAUGAGCUCGUUGGUAAGGUAACGGCUUACACAGGCGAUGAUGCAUAGCUGAUGUGAGAGGAUGAGCGGCCACCAUGGGACUGAGACACGGCCCAAACUCCUACGGGAGGCAGCAGUAGGGAAUCUUCCACAAUGGACGAAAGUCUGAUGCAGCAACGCCGCGUGAGUGAAGAAGGUUUUCGGAUCGUAAAGCUCUGUUGUUGGUGAAGCGGUAAUCAAAGAGAAAGCACCGGCUAACUACGUGCCAGCAGCCGCGGUAAUUC